GGGGCCUUAGUUUAAUAAAAAUGUUUGAUUUGCAAUCAUUCGAUGUGGAGUAAAAUCCGCAGUUCCUA
rnacentral:tRNA from 1 species